rnacentral:rRNA from 1 species
CCUACGGGUGGCAGCAGUGGGGAAUAUUGCACAAUGGGGGAAACCCUGAUGCAGCGACGCCGCGUGAGUGAAGAAGUAUCUCGGUACGUAAAGCUCUAUCAGCAGGGAAGAAAAUGACGGUACCUGAGUAAGAAGCCCCGGCUAACUACGUGCCAGCAGCCGCGGUAAUACGUAGGGGGCAAGCGUUAUCCGGAUUUACUGGGUGUAAAGGGAGCGUAGACGGUGCGCCAAGUCUGGAGUGAAAUGCCGCGGCUUAACUGCGGAACUGCUUUGGAAACUGGCGAACUAGAGUGCGGGAGGGGUAAGCGGAAUUCGUGGUGUAGCGGUGAAAUGCGUAGAUAUUAGGAAGAACUCCGAUGGCGAAGGCGGCUUACUGGACCGUAACUGACGUUGAGGCUCGAAAGCGUGGGGAGCAAACAGGAUUAGAUACCCGUGUAGUC